rnacentral:rRNA from 1 species
AUUGAACGCUGGCGGCAGGCUUAACACAUGCAAGUCGAGCGGGGUGAUGGUGCUUGCACUAUCACUUAGCGGCGGACGGGUGAGUAAUGCUUAGAAAUCUGCCUAUUAGUGGGGGACAACAUCUCGAAAGGGAUGCUAAUACCGCAUACGUCCUACGGGAGAAAGCAGGGGAUCACUUGUGACCUUGCGCUAAUAGAUGAGCCUAAGUCGGAUUAGCUAGUUGGUGGGGUAAAGGCCUACCAAGGCGACGAUCUGUAGCGGGUCGGAGAGGAUGAUCCGCCACACUGGGACUGAGACACGGCCCAGACUCCUACGGGAGGCAGCAGUGGGGAAUAUUGGACAAUGGGGGGAACCCUGAUCCAGCCAUGCCGCGUGUGUGAAGAAGGCCUUAUGGUUGUAAAGCACUUUAAGCGAGGAGGAGGCUCUUUUGGUUAAUACCCAAGAUGAGUGGACGUUACUCGCAGAAUAAGCACCGGCUAACUCUGUGCCAGCAGCCGCCGCGG